rnacentral:rRNA from 1 species
AUGGCUCCCAAGCGCCGCGGCAGCAAGGUGGUGAGCUCCGUGGUGAAGACCAAGGUGGUGGAGGAGACCGUGGAGGUCGCCACCACCAUCCUCCCCGCCUCCCAGUCCCAGUCCCAGCCCGACUCCGCCGCCCAGGAGGAGGACCUGCAGCAGCCGGAGGUCGUCGACGUCUCCCGCUCCCGCGACGUCCACGUCGAGGUCGUCACCACCCCCGACGCCCAGCCCACCCACGGCGCCAAGAAGCAGCCCGCCUCCAAGAGGGGCGCCGCCAACGCCAAGCCGCCGGCCGGGCCGCUGGUGGUGCCGGUCUCGCCGUCACCACAGGAGCAGGAGGCCCAGCCGGCGGAGGAGCAGCAGCAGCAGCGCAAGAAAGGUGGCGGCAAGACGCCGGCGUCGCUGCAGAGCCAGGAGACGCAGGAGAACCCCUACGCGUACCAGGACGAGACCACCAAGAAGAGGCCUGCAGAGGAGGACGACGGCGCUGAGCCUAAUAAGCCGGAGGGCCCCGAGACGCCGACGCAGAAGAGGUCCAGGACCGAGGGCAAGGCCAAGACGCGCAAGGCGGAGGCCGCGGCGAGGAAGAAGCUGUCCGCGGCGGCGGGCAAAGGAAAAGGCGGGCGCCGCCGUCGUCGUCUGGGAGGGAACAACGUCGACAUGGGGUACAAGGCGUACGUGUACCGGGUGCUGAAGCAGGUGCACCCGGACCUGGGCGCGUCGGGGAAGACGAUGCAGGCGCUGGACAUGAUGAUGGCGGACAUGUUCGAGCGGCUGGCGACGGAGGCGUCGCGGCUGGCGCAGUACGCCGGGCGGGCCACGCUCACCUCCCGCGACGUGCAGAACGCGGUGCGCCUGGUGCUCCCCGGCGAGCUCGCCAAGCACGCCAUCUCCGAGGGCACCAAGGCCGUCACCAUGUACAUGUCCUGA